ACGUAGACGCUAUUCCCUAAGAUUAACCCAUGCAUGUUUUUGACAUUUGAAAAAUGGACUGCUCAGUAAUACUCACUUUAUUUUAUGUAAAUUUUUAAUUAACUACGUUAAAGUGUAGAUAAGAUGUUUACAGUAAGAGUGAGACCUAUCAGCUAGUUGUUAAGGUAAUGGCUUAACAAGGCUGUGACGGGUAACGGUAUUACUUUGUAAUAUUCCGGAGAAGGAGCCUGAGAGACGGCUACUAAGUCUAAGGAUUGCAGCAGGGGCGAAACUUGACCUAUGGAUUUUAUCUGAGGCAGUUAUCGGAAGUAAUAUUAUAUUGUUUCAUAUUUUAAAAGUAUAUGAGGUGAUUAAUUGGAGGGCAAAUCAAGUGCCAGCAGCCGCGGUAAUACUUGUUCCAAGAGUGUGUAUGAUGAUUGAUGCAGUUAAAAAGUCCGUAGUUUAUUUUUUAAGAAGCAAUAUGAGGUGUACUGUAUAGUUGGGAGAAAGAUGAAAUGUGACGACCCUGACUGGACGAACAGAAGCGAAAGCUGUACACUUGUAUGUAUUUUUUGAACAAGGACGUAAGCUGGAGGAGCGAAGAUGAUUAGAUACCAUUGUAGUUCCAGCAGUAAACCAUGCCGACGAUGUGAUAUGAAAAUAUUAAUUUGUAUUACAUAAUAGAAAUUUGAGUUUUUUGGCUCUGGGGAUAGUAUGAUCGCAAGAUUGAAAAUUAAAGAAAUUGACGGAAGAAUACCACAAGGAGUGGAUUGUGCGGCUUAAUUUGACUCAACGCGAGGUAACUUACCAAUAUUUUAUUAUUUUGAGAGAACGGUUUUUUGUUUGAGAAUGAUAAUAGUGGUGCAUGGCCGUUUUCAAUGGAUGCUGUGAAGUUUUGAUUAAUUUCAACAAGACGUGAGACCCUUAUUUUUUAUUAAAGACAGACACAAUCAGUGUAGGAAGGAAAGGAUUAAAACAGGUCCGUUAUGCCCUCUGACAUUUUGGGCUGCACGCGCAAUACAAUAGAUAUAUAAUCUUUAUGGGAUAAUAUUUUGUAAGAGAUAUUUGAACUUGGAAUUGCUAGUAAAUUUUAUUAAAUAAGUAGAAUUGAAUGUGUCCCUGUUCUU
rnacentral:rRNA from 1 species